AAGUUUACAAAGUGACCCAACUCUCCCACGCUUCCCCUACUAUCUAACCGAACAUCAAUUUUCUAUUUAAACUGUUCACGUGUUUUCCUCUUCUACUUUUACUUUCAUUUUCCAUUCAUUUUCAGCAGCCCGACACGUAUACGCCUAUAAAUAUUAACGUUGUUCAUUUUGAGGACAGCACAUCUCAUGUGACGUUUCGAAGAAGUGUUUGUGGCCUUCUGUCUAGUUAAUGCUUGGUAUAUUUCUACUGUUAGUCAAGUCAGACGGAAGAUUCGGAACACACUGACAGUAAUUAUUAUUGUAUUCCUGUUGGUCCUUUUGUUCAUUUUUCAGUACUGGGAAAAGUUAAAAUCGUGGGGAUUUGUUAGUAAAAUGUAAAUAAAUUAAACAUUUGUGUGUUAUUUUUAUGUUGACUUCAUUGACAUACCAUGUGACCUGAUUGUCAAAUCAGAUUUAGUUGCAUUGUUAUGUUCUUUUAUUUUGUUUGUCUUUAGUUUCGUAAUGGUCUUAUUUCACACACAAUUUACCAAUGGGGUCGUAUAUGAAACAAAAUAUCCCUAUAUUUGAUCUUGAAUCAAUAAAAAGGGUUUGGGUGUGCUCACUAGUCACGAUUAUGGGGCGGAUGGAAAACGAUAGGGGAAUUCCCGGAUGAAAGUAUAAGGUCAUUGUGAUCCCGCUACGACUGAAUACGGCGUGAAAUGUUAAUAACCAUGCCCAUACCAGGCUCACUGCUCACGACACGAUUAUGGGGUGGAUAGAAAAACGAUAGGGGAAUUCCCGGAUGAAAGCGUAUAGUCAUUGUGACCUGACUACGAUUGACUACGCCCAUACCAAACUCUCUUCAAAUUGAGGUUUUGUGUCCUUGAAGAUGUGGGAUUUAACACUGAGGGACAAAAGACCUAUUAUCUAUGGAAGCCUAUAACUACCAUUCAUAAUUUCUACUUUUCGCCUCUUCAGAACACGAAAGUCGAAAAAGUCGAAAAGUAGAAGUUACGACAAAAUGUGAGGCGACAAGACGGUAUACAAGUCAAAAUCAACUCGAAAAUAGGAAAUUAAGAAAUAACACACCGCGAUAAUAGCGCCCCCCGUUUUUUCUUAAUUUCUACUUUUCGACUUGCAUUUUGGCUUGUAUACCGUCUUGUCGACUUUCGACUUAGUCAUAUUUUUGUAUUUAUUGAUGUCAGUAAGAAGGCGCCAACACGCUAUACAAGCCAAAAUGCAACUCGAAAAGUAGAAAUUAGGAAAUUAACACACUGCGCUAUUAGCGACCUAUGUUCUGUCGUACUGUCGACUUUUCGACUUUUCUACUUUUCGACUUUCGUGUUCUGAAGAGGCGAAAAGUAGAAAUUAUGAAUGGUAGUUAUAGGCUUCCAUAAUUAUCUAACCGAACAUCAAUUUUCUAUUUAAACUGUUCACGUGUUUUCCCCUUCUACUUUUACUUUCAUUUUCAGCGAAUCGAAAAUAUACGCCUAUAAGUUUAAACUUGUUUAUUUUGAGGACAGCACAUCUCAUGUGACGUUUCGAAGAAUAUUCUCGUAAUGUUUUCAAGUAAAGAAACAAAAGAUGAACUGGGCUAAGGAAGACGGGCAUACGCCAUACAGUGUGCUAUUUGAAAAAGGUUGGAACAUGGGGACUGAACUUCAAGUUUUAACUUUUGGUAUUCUUAUCGUGGGUAUAAUUGUGGCACUACAAAAAGAGGAGUGGCUCUUGGCUGCCAUAAUGUUUGUGGCCUACUGUCUAUUUAAUGCUUGGUAUGUUUCUACUGCUGUUAAUAAAAUCAGGCGGAAGAUUUGGAACACACUAACAGGACUUUUUAUUGUAUUCCUAUUGUGUUCGUUUUUUAAUAUUGGGAAGAGUUAAAAUCUUGGGGAUUAAAUUAAACAUUUUUGUGUUA